rnacentral:rRNA from 1 species
UACGUAGGGUGCGAGCGUUGUCCGGAAUUACUGGGCGUAAAGAGCUCGUAGGUGGUUUGCCGCGUUGUUCGUGAAAACUCACAGCUCAACUGUGGGCGUGCGGGCGAUACGGGCAGACUGGAGUACUGCAGGGGAGACUGGAAUUCCUGGUGUAGCGGUGGAAUGCGCAGAUAUCAGGAGGAACACCGGUGGCGAAGGCGGGUCUCUGGGCCGAUACUGACGCUGAGGAGCGAAAGCGUGGGGAGCGAACAGG